UGAAUUUCAGACAAGUUAAUAGUACUAAGUUUUCUCUGAAGAUUAAUUUUUCCGAGGAACAAACCACUCAACUUACCAUUUGGUUCUCUUCGUUGUGUUGAGCCAGUUUAGCUGACACCGGAAGAGUUGCCUCCUCAUCGGCCCAUGGACAAUGAUGAAUAGGAGAGCCCAAGAGAUCGGCAGCGGCUGCUGUCUUUUCCGAACGGGUUGCCAUCUUCGUCACAGACUGCUGGGACAACAAUCAGGAGCAAGUUGCCAAGAUUUCCUGCAUUUUUUGUCAGUUGAUGACACUGCUAACAUUAGGAUUAUUCAGCAAAAAUAUGAGGGUAAAAACAUGCAAUCCACCUAGGAAACUAACCUGCUGAGCAGAAGGCAAUGAUCAUUCCUCUGAAAUGUUGUGGUGGUUUCAAGAUUCUACAUGCUAUCCAGCCUAGAGUGCCACCAGCCAUGAAUGUGAUCCCUAUGUUAAUUGGCAUAAACCACCUACAUGAUAGAAUUCUUUUGUUAGUGCUGUGGAGUUACCCAGCAAACAAAAUUUGGAUAUUGUAUAUAUGCUCUGCCCAGAUAUUUAAACAGUGCUCUGAAUGAGAAAACUAUAUAUGUAAAGCUUGUUUUCUAUUUCA